rnacentral:lncRNA from 1 species
AAAAUGAAAGCAUUAUGGAGUCUUAGUUAAUGAAAUUAAGAUCAGUUCGAUCAUCAUCAUCACACAACAUGUUGAGAUAUGUAUUUUUAUUAAAACAAAAGUUAUAGACCUGACAUCCCUAACAGUACAGUGAUGAAUAUCUGUCAAUUAAUUAAUGUCUUCUUCCUUAAUUAGCAUUCACUCUAUUUUACUCCACUAAAAGCUUAAUUAUCAUCUACCAUGAUGAUUUUAAAUUGAGGUGUUAAAGAAAGAGAAAUUAAUUGUUAAAAAAAAAUUAUGACUAUUAAAUAAAGAAAGAGAAAUUAAUUGUUAAUGUCGUCUGACUUUCUACGGCUCACUCUGAAUAUAUAAUUAAUUGUUUUCUAAAAGAAUCAUGCUGCUACACAUACACACAAUGAAUUUAUGUCAAAAUAAAGAAAGAGAAAGAAAAGAAAACGGCAGGGCGGUGGCUAUAGCUAGCUAGCAAGAGAAUUAAUUAAUGGGAAGAAAUUAAAUGAAUACAUAUACCUUCAGCAGGGUCGGUCGUAGUAGUGGUGUUAUUUUGAGCGUCGGAUAAACCAAUUAGCAGGAAGAGAUGAGCAAAUAGUGUGUACGAAGAAAGUAGCAGCGAGGAAGAAAGUAGCAGCUUCACUGAUCUCACUCCAAAAUUCAUCUUCUCUCUCAUUACGAUUUACCAACCCAGAAUAAAGAGAAUUUAACGCUAAUAAUUGAAUCUAUACUCUCAUAGUUUUGUUGAAGUUAAAGAAUAUAUAGAAGGGGAAGCUAGCCAGAGUCGGUCAACAUUUGUUUUUUUAUUUUUUUUCCCAUCGUCCAUUUUACGAAGUGGUUAAAAAAAAAAAAAAUGCAUCUUAAAGCUGUGGCAAGAGGUGUUUUUAAAAACAAAAAAUAGAGAAAGAAAAGUUGAACGGUAGACACAAGAGGUACAAUAAUUUUAUGUAAGCUAUCAUAUACAAAAGAUAAAAGUUCGACAAACUGGACGAAUCCUUUCAUGUACAUAUUGGAAAUACCCAUAUAUAUAAAUGCCAAUUGACGGGCUUUUUUUUUUUAAUUUUGGUGUUUUGCUAUGCGUGUAAAGCAAAGACUUGAGUGCAUCAGAAAUUGACCAAAUUCAACUCUCGUGUAUGUACAUUGCGUCCUAAUCUUGUUGUUAUCAACUGCCCGUUUAUUGACGCAAACUCAACAUAACAUUGUAUACGGAUGCGAUUCGUGGUACAUAAACGUUAGAAUACUGCAGAAAAAUAAUACAUGACGACUAAUGUACUCUUAUUACAAAAUUCUUAGAAGUUAAACAAAAAUACUUGCAAUGAGGCACCACCUCGACUAUUACAUUAACGGGUUGUUGAACUAAACCUAUUCCCUUAUUAUUAUUAUUUGUUGAGUAAUAAAAAAUACCAGGUAGGUAUCUCCCCAUUCCAUACCGGGGGGAUGAAUCUCUCCGGCUGAAUGAUACGAGCAGAUUCCUAGUAGUAUAUCCUUUAUGGAGCACAUGCCGACUAGAAACGAAUACCGACCAGAAGUUCAUACCGAUCAGAUACUUGUCACUCAAAGAAAGAGGACACGAUCUCACCAACACACGACAAUUUCGUCAUGCCCCAAACCGCUGGGGAGAACACGAGGCCCCACGUUUACCCACGUUCGGUUGUUGAAGACCCAUUAAGGCCCUUAAUCACCCAAAUAUGACGGGCAUGAAAAAUACUCUGAGAAAGUAGGAUAACGGCCUAUAAAAGGCUGAGAAAUCAAUGAAAAAAGAGGACACAAAAAAAAAAGAGAAGGAAAAACUCUGCCAAAUUAAUAUCACGCAUUACUACAUAAACAUCUCUAAUACACUUUUUUCUAGACACAUUACAGUUAACGUGCAUAAACAAAAAUCAUAUAGUUUUCAUUGGUUGAGAUGAUGAUAACAAAUAACAAUAGUGAGGAAGAAAAAUAUACUUUCUCACACCAGAUAACCGGCAAAGUACGAGCACAUAAUAUAUUUUAAAUUGGAUUAUUUUUAAUAUACAAAAAAAAAAGAGCUUUAAAAAUGAAAGCAUUAUGGAGUCUUAGUUAAUGAAAUUAAGAUCAGUUCGAUCAUCAUCAUCACACAACAUGUUGAGACAUGUAUUUUUAUUAAAAACAAAAGUUAUAGACCUGACAUCCCUAACAGUACAGUGAUGAAUAUCUGUCAAUUAAUUAAUGUCUUCUUCCUUAAUUAGCAUUCACUCUAUAUUACUCCACUAAAAGCUUAAUUAUCAUCAACCAUGAUGAUUUUAAAUUGAGGUGUUAAAGAAAGAGAAAUUAAUUGUUAAUGUCUUCUGACUUUCUACAGCUCACUCUGAAUAUACAAUUAAUUGUUUUCUAAAAGAAUCAUGCUACUACACAUACACAUAAUGAAUUUAUGUCAAAAUAAAGAAAGAGAAAGAACAGAAAACCCCAGGGCCGUGGCUAGCUAGCAAGAGAAUUAAUUAAUGGGAAGAAAUUAAAUGAAUACGUUUACCUUCAGCAGGGUCGGUCGUAGUAGUGGUGUUAUUUUGAGCGUCGGAUAAACCAAUUAGCAGGAAGAGAUGAGCAAAUAGUGUGGAGGUGUUUUUUAAAAACAAAAAAUAGAGAAAGAAAAGGUGAACGGUAGACACAAGAGGUACAAUAAUUAUAUGUAACCUAUCUCAUAUAUAAAAGAUAAAAGUUGGCAAUACCCGUAUAUAUAAAUGCCAAUUGACGGGCUUUUUUUUUUUUUUUUAAAUUUAAAUUUUGGUGUUUUGCUAUGCCUGUAAAGAAAAGACUUGAGUGCAUCAGAAAUUGACCAAAUUCAACUCUAUAUGGCGUCCUAAUCUUCAUGGUCUCUAGUGUGGGGUUCACUUAAUUAAUAAUUAUUGUUAUCAACUGCCCGUUUAUUGACGUAAACUCAACAU